rnacentral:misc_RNA from 1 species
GAUGAAGAACGUAGCGAAAUGCGAUAAGUAAUGUGAAUUGCAGAAUUCAGUGAAUCAUCGAAUCUUUGAACGCACAUUGCGCCCCUUGGUAUUCCGAGGGGCAUGCCUGUUCGAGCGUCAUUAUAACCCCUCAAGCUCAGCUUGGUGUUGGGGCCUGCUGCACUGGCAGCCCUUAAAAUCAGUGGCGGCGCCAUCUGGCUCUAAGCGUAGUAAUUCUUCUCGCUAUGGAGUCCUGGUGGUUGCUUGCCAUCAACCCCCAAUUUUUCUAUGGUUGACCUCGGAUCAGGUAGGGAUACCCGCUGAACUUAAGCAUAUCAAUAAGCGGAGGA